AGAAGAAAAAAACAAAACCCUAAUUAUGUCCCGAUUUUGUAAUAAUCUUUUCUUCAACUGCACAUCAGAUCAGACUAUCACUCGCCUUGACUGCAUAUGCCAAUGGAUUGGUUAUAAUUGGUGAGCAACAACAAUAAUACUCAAGAGGUUGUGCUGUCAGAACACUGGAUAUCAUUUGUUGACGGAGGGAAACAUAUAGAGUACAUGAUUGCUUCGCCUUGUGGAGCAGCAUGGUUUUAUUUCGUCAGAAGGAACUUGAAGGCUCUAUUCCUGAUGGAGUGGUAGCUUAUAGAGAGAUAUCUGAAACUUUGGCGUGCUUGAAUUUCGACACGGUACAGAGAGUGGCUGAUAAUUUAUGAAUUCAAGCUUCAUCUCAGGUAUUAACGUUUCCUUAUGGGAGCGGAAGCUUAUAGAGAGAUACAUCAUACAUGAUUCCUUGGCAGCAAUUUUUGCUACUUAGCCCUUGAUGGUUCAACUCCCUUUUCUGGUCUGGCUAAUUCCUCCUGAAUGUCCUUCCCCUUCAAUGUUAAUAAAGAGCAAUAGAUCCUUCUUCAAAUCCAAGAGGCUAAAACCACCCAAUUGAACUAAGCUCGAAAGAUUACGACAACAAUUUGGAACUUCUUUUCCCUUCAUUAAGGCAAACCUUUGGGUCAUACCGGUUAACAUGUAUAUGAUCCAAAGUUUUGAGUGUUCUUAUCCAAUUUAUUAUUCCAUUCUAUCCUGAUGUUUGAUGCCAUUACCAGCCAGAAAAAGAAAGAAAUGGAAUCCCACUGUGUCGUGCAUAGAAGCAAUAUGUUUGCAGCUCAACCACAUAGGCACACAAAUGCAGGGUAAUCCUAACAGAACCUUCCAUAGAAGGAUGAAACACAAAUUUGCAAUAAAUUUUAAAACCUAAAUAUAGGUAUAUUUGAGAUGUGAGGAAGCCAGGAAGGUAGGUUUACUUGGAAUCUUUGUUCAUGUUUAUCUUCUUUGAAUCCCAGUGUUUUUUGAUACCAAAAGAAAGGACUGGUUGAGGCUUAUCUUCUUUUGAAGCCAAUGAUAUUUUGUUACUAAAGAUUGUACUGGUGGUAUAUAUUCACAUGGGGGUGUAGUUUGUUUGGCAGAAUGCUCGCUUAGCAUGCUAAACGUCUGGGGUUCGAAUUAUACUUUUCCAUAUGCCAUUAACUGGGUAAUAUUGUUAUGCACUUUAUUUGCAGGUGAAUUACUAGCAAGUUCUUUAGAGUUUUGUUCCUACCUGAUGGGAAUCAUGGGAUGGGUAAGAGGUCUAUAUAGAGUAUCCAUUUACUACCCACUUUUGUGGAUAAUGUUUUGUUAUUAUAAAAUAUAAAAUAAGUGGUGGGUGAGAAUUGCAUAGCCAGCAGGCUUAAGCUUCUAUCUUCUGGAGGUCUAACAUGCAUUGCCAAAUGAGUAAGCCUUUUAUGGUUACAUCUUCCUCUGCUGCAUCUAAGACUAGGGACUUAUUUGCUCUGGAGCUUAUUAACAGGGUUAUUUAUGUAAUUUUAUCUGCAUCUCUUUUAGUGAUAUUGGGAUCCAGAGGGAUAGAGGAAAUCUCCACAAAAAAGAAAAUAAAAAAGGUAGUCGGUUGUUUGAUGUAUGGUAAUUUAAACAAAUUACAGAAAAUACAAUUGCCAUUUAUUGAAUCUCACUCGCAUCGUAAGAAGGCGUCGGUUGCGCAUCAAUAGAAUUUCAAAUCAUAUUAAUAUAUAAUCACUGGUAUUUUGAUUUU